rnacentral:misc_RNA from 1 species
GAUGAAGAACGUAGUGAAAUGCGAUAAGUAAUGUGAAUUGCAGAAUUCAGUGAAUCAUCGAAUCUUUGAACGCACAUUGCGCCCCUUGGUAUUCCGGGGGGCAUGCCCGUUCGAGCGUCAUUACACCCAUCAAGCCCGGCUUGGUCUUGGGCGACGGGGGGGGGGGGACACACCCCGCCCGCGCCCCCAUUCCCCCCUCGGCGGGACGGUCGGAAGCCUGCAGCGUUGCGACACCCGUUCGCUCCGGAGGACCGCCGCCCGCGCCGUUAAACUCUUUCAUCACAGGUUGACCUCGGAUCGGGUAGGGAUACCCGCUGAACUUAAGCAUAUCAAUAAGCGGAGGA